CAGUUGAAUUUGAGAAUUGGAUGGAACCAAAUCUUCUUUGCGAAAGCGAGGCAAAGACUUGGUUUCCUCCAAUAUCUCAUGUUCACCUG
rnacentral:pre_miRNA from 1 species